rnacentral:rRNA from 1 species
GACGAACGCUGGCGGCGUGCUUAACACAUGCAAGUCGAACGCUGAAGCUCAGCUUUUGUUGGGUGGAUGAGUGGCGAACGGGUGAGUAACACGUGAGUAACCUGCCUCCUUCUUUGGGAUAACGCCCGGAAACGGGUGCUAAUACUGGAUAUUCACUGGUCUUCGCAUGGGGGUUGGUGGAAAGGGUUUUUCUGGUGGGGGAUGGGCUCGCGGCCUAUCAGCUUGUUGGUGGGGUGAUGGCCUACCAAGGCUUUGACGGGUAGCCGGCCUGAGAGGGUGACCGGUCACGUUGGGACUGAGAUACGGCCCAGACUCCGACGGGAGGCAGCAGUGGGGAAUAUUGCGCAAUGGGCGCAAGCCUGAUGCAGCGACGCCGCGUGAGGGAUGGAGGCCUUCGGGUUGUGAACCUCUUUCGCUCAUGGUCAAGCCGCAACAAUGGUUGUGGUGAGGGUAGUGGGUAAAGAAGCGCCGGCUAACUACGUG